AGUCCAAUCUCAUCUCACACUCGCGAGCGGGCCAAGGUCCUGGAAUUUCAACCCCCCUUUCAUCUUAUUUCCUUAUGGAAGAAGAUGUCUGACCGAUCUUAGCGGAUCCUUGAGUUAAUUUCAAACCAAGUAAUUCCCGACCAGAAAUGCGUCCUCUCCAUCUUAUCCGUAAAGGAAACCCAUAGAAGCGUUUGACGUGGAGGGUAUGGAUGGAGAUAUUUUGGACUUGGUAUGGGAAUGGUGAGGUAGCCUUAUAUCGAUGUUCUCUAUCCUCGAUGCCUGGAUAAAGAGUCUCUGAAAUCAAAGAGAAGUGUUUUGGUCAUAGACCAAACCCCGAUAUACAUAAAAAGGCUUUAGUGCAAUUUGGUGACGUCCUCAUACUCAAAAACCUUCUUUGAUCUCAAGUUGAAGAAGGGAGGAUAACUCGAUCAGGACUACUCUGGGACU
rnacentral:RNase_P_RNA from 2 species